rnacentral:rRNA from 1 species
UACGAAGGGGGCUAGCGUUGCUCGGAAUCACUGGGCGUAAAGCGCACGUAGGCGGCUUUUUAAGUCAGGGGUGAAAUCCUGGAGCUCAACUCCAGAACUGCCUUUGAUACUGAGAAGCUUGAGUCCGGGAGAGGUGAGUGGAACUGCGAGUGUAGAGGUGAAAUUCGUAGAUAUUCGCAAGAACACCAGUGGCGAAGGCGGACUCACUGGCCCGGUACUGACGCUGAGACGCGAAAGCGUGGGGAG